ACGACUAAAUCACGUUGAAUCACCGAUUCCCGUACGAUCACUGAAGUUAAGCGACGUCGAGCCUGGUCAGUACCUCGAUGGAUGACUGCUUGGGGAUACUUGGCAC